rnacentral:rRNA from 1 species
GACGAACGCUGGCGGCGUGCUUAACACAUGCAAGUCGAACGAUGACGACCGAGCUUGCUCGGUCUGAUUAGUGGCGAACGGGUGAGUAACACGUGAGCAACCUGCCCUUCACUCUGGGAUAGCCUCGGGAAAUCGGGGCUAAUACCGGAUAUGAGCUCCUGUCGCAUGGCGGGUGUUGGAAAGUUUUUCGGUGAAGGAUGGGCUCGCGGCCUAUCAGUUUGUUGGUGAGGUAGUGGCUCACCAAGGCGAUGACGGGUAGCCGGCCUGAGAGGGCGACCGGCCACACUGGGACUGAGACACGGCCCAGACUCCUACGGGAGGCAGCAGUGGGGAAUAUUGCACAAUGGGCGAAAGCCUGAUGCAGCGACGCCGCGUGAGGGAUGACGGCCUUCGGGUUGUAAACCUCUUUCAGCAGGGAAGAAGCGAAAGUGACGGUACCUGCAGAAGAAGCGCCGGCUAACUACGUG